rnacentral:rRNA from 1 species
GAUGAACGCUGGCGGCGUGCCUAAUACAUGCAAGUCGAGCGAACGGACGAGAAGCUUGCUUUUCUGAUGUUAGCGGCGGACGGGUGAGUAACACGUGGAUAACCUACCUAUAAGACUGGGAUAACUUCGGGAAACCGGAGCUAAUACCGGAUAAUAUUUUGAACCGCAUGGUUCAAAAGUGAAAGACGGUCUUGCUGUCACUUAUAGAUGGAUCCGCUCUGCAUUAGCUAGUUGGUAAGGUAACGGCUUACCAAGGCAACGAUGCAUAGCCGACCUGAGAGGGUGAUCGGCCACACUGGAACUGAGACUCGGUCCAGACUCCUACGGGAGGCAGCAGUAGGGAAUCUUCCGCAAUGGGCGAAAGCCUGACGGAGCAACGCCGCGUGAGUGAUGAAGGUCUUCGGAUCGUAAAACUCUGUUAUUAGGGAAGAACAUAUGUGUAAGUAACUGUGCACAUCUUGACGGUACCUAAUCAGAAAGCCACGGCUAACUACGUG